rnacentral:rRNA from 1 species
CUGGCGGCACGCCUAACACAUGCAAGUCGAACGGAGAUAUUUGGUUACUGAGAUAUCUAGUGGCGACGGGUGAGUAACACGUGAGCAACCUGCCUUUGAGAGAGGGAUAGCUUCUGGAAACGGAUGGUAAUACCUCAUAACGUAUACUUAAGGCAUCUUAUGUAUACCAAAGAUUUAUCACUCAAAGAUGGGCUCGCGUCUGAUUAGAUAGUUGGUGAGGUAACGGCUCACCAAGUCGACGAUCAGUAGCCGGACUGAGAGGUUGAACGGCCACAUUGGGACUGAGACACGGCCCAGACUCCUACGGGAGGCAGCAGUGGGGAAUAUUGCACAAUGGGGGAAACCCUGAAUGCAGCGAUGCCGCGUGGAGGAAGAAGGUUUUCGGAUUGUAAACUCCUGUCUUAAAGGACGAUAAUGACGGUACUUUAGGAGGAAGCUCCGGCUAACUACGUGCCAGCCGCUGC